GAUCCUGGCUCAGGAUGAACGCUAGCGGGAGGCUUAACACAUGCAAGUCGAGGGGUACAUAGUUUUCGGACUGAUGACGACCGGCGCACGGGUGCGUAACGCGUAUGCAACCUUCCUUAUGCAGGAGGAUAGCCCAUGGAAACGUGGAUUAAUACUCCAUACUAUUAGUAUUAUGCAUGUAAUAUUAAUAAAAACUACGGUGGCAUAAGAUGGGCAUGCGUCUGAUUAGUUAGUUGGUGAGGUAACGGCUCACCAAGGCGACGAUCAGUAGGGGUUCUGAGAGGAUUAUCCCCCACACUGGUACUGAGACACGGACCAGACUCCUACGGGAGGCAGCAGUGAGGAAUAUUGGUCAAUGGGUGAGAGCCUGAACCAGCCAUCCCGCGUGCAGGAUGACGGCCCUAUGGGUUGUAAACUGCUUUUCUACGCCAAGAAAGGUCCCUACGUGUAGGGAAUUGACGGUAGCGUAGGAAUAAGCAUCGGCUAACUCCGUGCCAGCAGCCGCGGUAAUACGGAGGAUGCAAGCGUUAUCCGGAUUUAUUGGGUUUAAAGGGUGCGCAGGCGGGUUUUUAAGUCAGUGGUGAAAUACUGCCGCUUAACGGUAGAAUUGCCAUUGAAACUAGGAAUCUUGAGUGUGGUUGAGGUAGGCGGAAUGUGUAGUGUAGCGGUGAAAUGCAUAGAUAUUACACAGAACACCGAUUGCGGAGGCAGCUUACUAAGCCAUAACUGACGCUGAGGCACGAAAGCGUGGGGAGCGAACAGGAUUAGAUACCCUGGUAGUCCACGCUGUAAACGACGUUCACUCGCUGUUUGCGAUACACAGUAAGCGGCUGAGCGAAAGCAUUAAGUGAACCACCUGGGGAGUACGAUCGCAAGGUUGAAACUCAAGGAAUGCGGGGGCCCGCACAACGGAGGAACAUGUGGUUAAUUGAUGAUACGCGAGGAACUACUGGGCUUAAAUGUAGACUGCAUAGGAUGGAACAUCUUUCCUUCGGGCUGUUUACAAGGUGUGCAUGGUGUCGUCAGCUCGUGCCGUGAGGUGUCGGGUAAGUCCCAUACGAGCGCACCUACCGUUAGUUGCCAACGUCAAGUGGGGAUUAGCGGGACUGCCACCGUAAGGUGAGAGGAAGGUGGGGAUGACGUCAAAUCAGCACGGCCCUUAUGUCCAGGGCUACACACGUGUUACAAUGCCGGUACAGAGG
rnacentral:rRNA from 1 species